rnacentral:rRNA from 1 species
AAAGCGUGCGCAGGCGGUUAUGUAAGACAGAUGUGAAAUCCCCGGGCUCAACCUGGGAACUGCAUUAGUGACUGCAUAGCUGGAGUACGGCAGAGGGGGAUGGAAUUCCGCGUGUAGCAGUGAAAUGCGUAGAUAUGUGGAGGAACACCGAUGGCGAAGGCAGCCCCCUGGGUCAAAACUGACGCUCAUGCACGAAAGCGUGGGGAGCAAACAGGAUUAGAUACCCUAGU